rnacentral:rRNA from 1 species
UACGGAGGGUGCGAGCGUUGUCCGGAAUUACUGGGCGUAAAGGGCGCGUAGGCGGCCUUCUAAGUCGAACGUGAAAUCCCCGGGCUCAACCCGGGAACUGCGUCCGAUACUGGAAGGCUUGAAUCCGGGAGAGGAAAGUGGAAUUCCUAGUGUAGCGGUGAAAUGCGUAGAUAUUAGGAGGAACACCAGUGGCGAAGGCGACUUUCUGGACUGUAACUGACGCUGAGGCGCGAAAGCGUGGGGAGCAAACAGG